rnacentral:lncRNA from 1 species
GAGCCUGACAUGACACCACCCCUUGGUACCGUUAUACGACCUUUACCAUUCUUAUUCGCCUUCGUAUAUUAUAGUACCAUUGCCUAUUCUUUCCAUCAUUUCCUUGAUCUGACCUGGUAGUGUCAGAGAUGGUUAGACCCGAGGUGAGCUUCACACGAUGAUAGAUGGAUCGUGAUGAGAGAGUGGCUUGACUACUUGAUGAUGUUGUUGAGGCAGAUGGAUCGUCAUGGAGCAUCCAGAUUUGAGUCAUUGCACAUGACUUCAGGUGUUUUGAUGUGAUCAGAGAGAUUGAUUUUAUGAGAUGAUGGUGAGUGACUUGUGAUGAUGGAGUGAGGUGAUUAUCAGAGGACAUUGACGGUUAUCACGGAGCAUUAGUGAGAGAUUUCACACGAUUUCAGAGGAGUCGCCAUGACUAUGUUGGAUGGAUACCAAUCUUUAGUAUUGGUCAUGUGAGAUCUCGAAAGCAUGAUGUUCGAGGUUUUGGUCAAAUGAUGGGUGGCCAUCAUUUCAUGAGCCUAUUUACUUUAUCACCCUCACAUAUAGAGUUACCCGUUGCUAGCCCUUUGAGCCUCACACGAGCACAUAGCCUUUUAUUUCAUCACUUCAUUUACCUAUUACACCGGGUUGAGGACCCUGUAGUGCUUGCAUGCUAUGUUUGGAUACGUCAUGAGUUCCAGACCUGACACACUUGUUCGAGCCUCAUUCUUCACUCUUCACUGUGUUAUUUUCCACUUGGACAUCAUUUCAUCACUAUUUUUCUUAUAUCACAUAUCACCACUUGCGAUAUUCGUUCUCUGGCCUUUUCUUUCAUUAUUGCUUGCUCGACAUUAUCCGUGUUUCACCUUGAGUGGUGGUUUUUCACACGUCACUGCAUGGAGGAUUGUCACAUUCUUUCCUAUCAUUCACCCCCCAUGGGCAGUGGUUCAGAGAUGUUAUUUUGAGAGGUUGUCUUGUUGGUGAGGAUUCAUGUUACAUUCGUAUGUGGAGAGGGUUUGAUCAUUUGGGGUAUGUAUUUUCAUGGGAGUUCAUUCAUUAUUGAUCAGAGUAUGCGCAAAAAAAAAAAAACAAAAAAAAAAAAAAGUGUAUUGUUCAUUAUACCGUUUUCCAUUGAGCACAUGUAUGAAUGUGCUAGUUUGCUUUAUUGAGUUCAUGUAUUAGAGAGAGUUCGUAUGAGAGCUUCUUUCUGAGAUUCCAUCUUAGUGUAUAUUUUGGGUGAGAGUAUGAGUCAUCCAUUCGAUUUUUGUGAGAGAGACGAGUGACCUUUCUUUAAUAUCUCUGGAUCCUUGCUCUAUCCAUCAUCCCAUCUGUUUUGGAUGUGACUACUUUCCAUGCUUUGAUGCAGGUUGACCAUCACUCAUUUUUCUACCUCUUUGUUUUCUUGUAUCUUUGUUUUGUUCCUCCAUUCUACCCUUAGCUCUUCUGGUUUCUUUCUUUUCUCAUCCUGCUUGAUGUUUGACUUGGGUUCAGCAUCCACACAUCAUACUUGUUCAUUCGAUAUGUCCAUUCCUUUAUCAUCACUUUUCGUGUAGGGACCCCUAGGUCCGGGACUCAUGACGUUUUCU